rnacentral:misc_RNA from 1 species
CCUCCAUUUUGGCUACUUAAUUCGGAGCAAUUCGGAGCAAAAACAAAAUAAAUAAAAAAAAAAACAAAAAAAACAAAACGUCAGUGCAUUUGCAAUUUGCAUCAAUCAUCAUUAACUAGAAAAAUGACAUAAAAAAAUAUUUAAAUAAAAAAAAUAGAUGUGCAAUUUAACAAUUAAUAUGGACCAAUAAAUUAACAAGAAAUUAUGUUUUUUAUUUUAUAAGAUAUUUGCAUUUAAAUAAGUUUAAUAAUUUAUUGAUUGAUUGGUAAAAUUAAUUUAUAAAAAUGGAAACAACUAUGCAAGAAAUUCCUUGUGGUAAUUGUAUUUUUUAUAAUAAUUUUGACUCUGCAAAUUUAGCUAAAGUUGAACCAGUCAAACAGCUUGAUACAACAAAAGGUGAUGGUAAAAGUCCAAAAACAAAUGACAAUACACCAGAUUAUGAAUUUAACAUUUGGACAAAACAUGAUUGUCAAGGAACUGAAUAUCAAAAUACAAAUAGAACAUGGUUUUAUUUUGGUAUCAAAACACCAACAGCUGGUUCAUUAGUUAAAUUAAAUAUUUUAAAUCUCAAUAAACAAUCUAAAAUGUUUAGUCAAGGAAUGUGUCCAGUGAUUAAAGUUGUACCUGGACAACAAAAUUGGGAGAGAAUACGUGAUAAACCAUCAUACAAUAUGGAUCAAAAAGGUAGUGAAUUUACAUUAUCAUUUACAAUAAAAACAACUGAUAAUUUAAAAGCAAUAACAUUUCUCGCUUUUACAUAUCCAUUUACAUAUACUGAGCUACAAAAUUAUUUAAAUAAUAUCGAUACAAAAAUAAUACAAGAUUCUAAUAAUACUAUUAAAAAUUCUGACAGUAUUUAUUAUCAUCGUGAAUGUGCAAUUAAGUCUCUAGAAGACAGAAGACUUGAUGUUAUAACAAUAAGUUCACAUCAUAAUAUAACAACUGAGUAUGAAGAUGAUUUAAAUGGACUAUAUCCUUUAAAAAAUGAAAAAAGAUCUUUAAAAUUUAAUGGUAAACGUAUUGUAUUUAUAAGUGCACGUGUACAUCCUGGUGAAACACCAUCAAGUUUUGUAUUUAAUGGUUUUUUAAAUUUUUUACUUAAUAAUGAUGAUCAAAUUGCUAUUCUAUUACGACGUAUUUAUGUAUUUAAAUUAAUACCAAUGCUUAAUCCUGAUGGUGUUGCACGUGGACAUUAUAGAAUGGAUACAAGAGGUGUUAAUUUAAAUAGAGUUUAUCUUGAUCCAUCACCAAUUGAUCAUCCAACAAUAUUUGCUGCUCGUAAUCUCAUCAGAUAUUAUCAUAAUUUUUAUCAAGUUAUUGAAGAUGUUAAAAAUGUAUCAAUGGAUAUUAAAGUUAAUGAAAAUGAUAAUGAAAAAAUUCAAGAAUCAAAUGGAAUUUGUAGUCAGUCAUUAGAUAAUAAUGUUGAUGAUGAAAAUAUUGAUGAUUCUUGUUGUUAUAAAAAUAUUUCAACAAUUGUUGGUGUUGAUAAUAAUUGUAAAAAAAAUUCUGAAGAUUCUGGUAUAUAUCUUUAUGUUGAUCUUCAUGGACAUGCAUCAAAAAAAGGUGUAUUUAUGUAUGGAAACUAUUUUGAUGAUCCAGAUGAUACAAUAAUGUGUAUGUUACUGCCAAAAUUAAUGUCAAUAAAUAAUUCAAAUUUUCAUUUUACAUCAUGUAAUUUUGCUGAAAGAAAUAUGUAUCUCAUUGAUAAAAGAGAUGGAAUGUCAAGAGAAGGUUCAGGACGUGUUGCUGUUUAUAAAAUGACUGGUUUAAUACGUAGUUAUACACUUGAGUGUAAUUAUAAUUCUGGUAGACUUGUUAACAAUGUACCAGCAAGAGUUAGAGAUGGUAUAGCUAAACUUCAAAGUCACAUGUUUGUACCACCAAAAUAUACACCAACUGUAUUUGAAGAAGUUGGUGCUGCAUUGGGUCCUUCAAUUCUUGAUAUGACAAAUAGCAAUCCAAACAGUCGUUUGCCUAACAGUCAAUAUCGAUCAUUGAGAGGUGUUAAAUCAUACUUAAAAUUAACAUAUGUCAAUAGUUUAACUGGCAGCAUCAGCAGACCACGUCUCAAGGUAAAAAAUGAUAGUACUGAAAAUAUUGUUGAUAUUGAAGUUAAACAGUGCUCAAUAUUUUAAUUUAUAAUCAACAUUAUUAUCAUACAAAAUUUCUUUAUUUUUUUAAAACAUAUUUUACAUUUUUUUUUUUUUAUUGUAAAUAAUCACAUUUUUUAAACAUUUAAUAUUUAUUUUUACUAAAAAAAUUAAUUAAUUGACUAAAUAUAUUUUAUUUGACGUUGACUUGAAAGUUUUAAAAAAAAAUAUAUAAUACAAUUGUUAGGAUUUUAAAUUUUAAAAAAUUCUAUAAAAAAACAUGAACAUUGUGGUUGUGAUUUUAUUGAUAAAUUUAAAAAAAAAUAACUGCAUAAUAAUAAUUAUCUACCCCUUUACGUGUGUUGAUUAAUAUAAUGACAAUUAAUGUGUUCGAAAAUUAAGAUAAAUAUGAUAAUAAUAUAUAAAUUUAAGCUAAAAAAUCGACUUCCAUUGUUGUGUAAAAUUAAUAAACAAAUUGCCAUUUGUUUUUAUGUAUGUAGUUUAUUGAUAUAUAUCAAAAUGAAAAAUAUAAUAAAAUAUAUUAAUAUAGAUAUAUAUGAAUGAAAAAAAAAAUAAAUAUUUAUCUGUUUGUUAAUAAAAUUCAAAGUCUUUUAGCACACAACUCGUCUUUGUUUUGUGUUUUUUUAAUUUAAUGAUAAAUUAUUAUUUAUUUGCUCCUCAAAGUGCAGACAUGAAUGUCAAAAUUUAUAAAAUAAAACAGCAAUGUUGUAACAGCUGGCUGUUAUUAAAAUAAUAAUUCAGCAAGUGCAAAAAGUCUGAAAAUUUAUUAUUCAUUUAAACAACUCAAAUCAUACUGCACACAAGCAAUUAAAAUUUUGACAAUCAUGGAUCUACACCUGUAAAUUAACAAAAAAAAAAUUAAAAAAAUAUAAGAAACUAAAUAGCCUAUGUCGAAUGCUGAUAAUUUGGGAAUAUUAAAAGAAGCAACAAAUUCAGAAGAAUACAUAAAUGUCAUAAAUAAUUCAUCAAUAAAUCAAGAUACA